rnacentral:misc_RNA from 1 species
GAUGAAGAACGUAGCGAAAUGCGAUAAGUAAUGUGAAUUGCAGAAUUCAGUGAAUCAUCGAAUCUUUGAACGCACAUUGCGCCCCUUGGUAUUCCGAGGGGCAUGCCUGUUCGAGCGUCAUUAUAACCCCUCAAGCUCAGCUUGGUGUUGAGGCCUGCUGCACUGGCAGCCCUUAAAAUCAGUGGCGGCGCCAUCUGGCUCUAAGCGUAGUAAUUCUUCUCGCUAUGGAGUCCUGGUGGAUGCUUGCCAUCAACCCCCAAUUUUUCUAUGGUUGACCUCGGAUCAGGUAGGGAUACCCGCUGAACUUAAGCAUAUCAUAAGCGGAGGA